GACGAACGCUGGCGGCGUGCUUAACACAUGCAAGUCGAACGGUGAAGCGCCUUCCUUUUUGGUGGGUGUGGAUGAGUGGCGAACGGGUGAGUAAAAGUGAGGAACCUUCCCCCUUCUUCUGGAUAAACGCAUGGAAAGUGGGCUAAUAAGGGGUAUUCUGGGGCUGGCGGCUGAUGGGGCUGGGGAAGGUAAUGGUUCGGGGGGGGGUGGGCUCGCGGCCUAUCAGCUUGUUGGGGGGGUGAUGGCCUACCAAGGCGGUGACGGGUAGCCGGCCUGAGAGGGUGGACGGUCACACUGGGACUGAGACACGGCCCAGACUCCUACGGGAGGCAGCAGUGGGGAAUAUUGCACAAUGGGCGCAAGCCUGAUGCAGCGACGCCGCGUGAGGGAUGGAGGCCUUCGGGUUGUGAACCUCUUUCGCCAGUGAAGCAGGCCUGCCUCGUUUGUGGGUGGGUUGACGGUAGCUGGAUAAGAAGCGCCGGCUAACUACGUG
rnacentral:rRNA from 1 species